rnacentral:rRNA from 1 species
UACGUAGGGGGCAAGCGUUGUCCGGAUUUAUUGGGCGUAAAGAGCGUGUAGGCGGCCAGGUAGGUCAGCUGUGAAAACUCGAGGCUCAACCUCGAGACGUCGGUUGAAACCACCUGGCUAGAGUCCGGAAGAGGAGAGUGGAAUUCCUGGUGUAGCGGUGAAAUGCGCAGAUAUCAGGAAGAACACCCGUGGCGAAGGCGGCUCUCUGGGACGGUACUGACGCUGAUGCGCGAAAGCCAGGGGAGCGAACGGG